rnacentral:ncRNA from 1 species
CCCGCUGAAUUUAAGCGUAUUUGUCCGUGGAGGAAAGAGACUAACAAGGACUCCCUCAGUGAUGGCGCGUGAACGGGGGACAGCCAGCGCCGAACCCCGCCCCUGCGGUGCUGUGAGGGAAUGUGGCGUACGAAGACCCACUUCGCGGCGCCGCUCGUGGGGGACCAAGUCCUGACCGAGGCCCAGCCCGGGGGCGGUGUGAGGCCGGUGGCGGCCACUGGAGCGCCAGGUCUGGGUUUUCCCGGAGAUGGGUUGCUUGGGAAUGCAGCCCAAAGCGGGUGCUAAACUCGGUCUAAGGCUAAAUACCGGCACGAGACUGAUAGUCAACAAGUACCUUAAGGGAAAGUUGAAAAGAACUUCGAAGCAAGAAUUCAAGAGGGCAUGAAACCUUUUUGAGGUAAACGGGUGGGGUCCACCCUGUCGGCCUGCAGGAUUCAACUCGG